GCCCUGAAACAGUGACCAGAGGAAGGUGCCUCCUCCUUCCCAGAACAUUAAUCUUCAAACAGAGGCAACACUGUGAGCUGUCAGGGAUGCAGAAGGUGGGCCUACUUAGAGACUGAGGGCUGAAUGGACAAGAGAUCAGCCCAAGAAGCCAUUGGUCUCAAGGAAAAGGGGCACCACUGCCUUUACUUGAUAGUGCUGAGUUAGGCGCAGUGGAGACUGGCUGGAGGUGGGAGGGGGGAGGAGAAGCGUAGAGGCAUGCAGGGGUGUGAGCCAGAGACAGGGGAAGAGGCUGAAAGAGACAGAGAUAAGAGAAGCAAAAAAGAGGGGUGGAAGGGAGGGCAAGAGAUGGGAACGGGUGCUGGGGCAGGCAGCGAAGGGAGAAAGAUGGGAGGAGAUGUGGACGGAAAGGCUAAAGGGUGAAGCUGCUGCCAUAGCUGCCCCCAGGCUCCCUCCCAGUGCCAACCUGGGGAGCUCAGAGACCCCUACACGGAUACGAAAACCCAUCCUGCCUCCCCAACUCUCUCCCCUAAAAUGCUGCAAUCAAAAGAGACCUGAGGCUCAGCCUUCAAUUUU
rnacentral:lncRNA from 1 species